rnacentral:rRNA from 1 species
CCUACGGGUGGCAGCAGUGAGGAAUAUUGGUCAAUGGACGAGAGUCUGAACCAGCCAAGUCGCGUGAAGGACGACUGCCCUAUGGGUUGUAAACUUCUUUUAUAUGGGAAUAAAAUGUUCCACGUGUGGGAUUUUGUAUGUACCAUAUGAAUAAGGAUCGGCUAACUCCGUGCCAGCAGCCGCGGUAAUACGGAGGAUCCGAGCGUUAUCCGGAUUUAUUGGGUUUAAAGGGAGCGUAGGUGGAUUGUUAAGUCAGUUGUGAAAGUUUGCGGCUCAACCGUAAGAUUGCAGUUGAUACUGGCAGUCUUGAGUACAGUAGAGGUGGGCGGAAUUCGUAGUGUAGCGGUGAAAUGCUUAGAUAUCACGAAGAACUCCGAUUGCGAAAGCAGUUCACUGGACUGCAACUGACACUGAGGCUCGAAAGUGUGGGUAUCAAACAGGAUUAGAUACCCUGGUAGUC